rnacentral:rRNA from 1 species
AUACGGAGGAUCCGAGCGUUAUCCGGAUUUAUUGGGUUUAAAGGGUGCGCAGGCGGGAGAUUAAGUCGGCGGUGAAAUUUUGCAGCUCAACUGUAAAAGUGCCUUCGAAACUGGUUUCCUUGAGUGUAGAUGAAGUAGGCGGAAUUUGUGGUGUAGCGGUGAAAUGCAUAGAUAUCACGAGGAACUCCGAUUGCGCAGGCAGCUUACUAAACUACUACUGACGCUCAGGCACGAAGGCGUGGGGAUCAAACAGGAUUAGACACCCUGGUAGUCCACGCAGUAAACGAUGAUUACUAGCUGUUUGCGAUACAAUGUAAGCGGCUGAGCGAAAGCGUUAAGUAAUCCACCUGGGGAGUACGUUCGCAAGAAUGAAACUCAAAUGAAUUGACGGGG